ACUUAGGCUAUCUCUUUCCCUUCCCCAAAUGCCAUUAAAAUUAAACGUAACAUUUAUUAUUAUUUUUUAAAAAACAUUAAAAAUUUAGAAAACCCAAAACCUUUUUUCAAAACCCCUUUUUCCUUAAAAAUAUUUUACCCUUUUGUUUUUUUUUUAAAAAAAACCUAAAAUUAUCUCUUCUCCCUCACUUCUUAGCCGAAGGGCUAAAACCCAGCUCUCAUUCGCCGCCUCAUGCGCGGCCGUAAACAGCCAUCGGAAGGCCAAAGUUCUCCCCCUUUUGCCAACGAAUCGAAAGGCUUUAUAGCCAAAAUACAAACAGUUUCUGCCUAUUUCUUUGCUCAAGUCGCAGAUGCUGUGAAAUCGUGGAGGAAGAGUGCAUGAUCGUGCAACGUGCGAGCUAGGAAUCCGUUCGUGGAUGUUGAAGCGUGAGAGUUGCGGCGUGGGCAAAUGGAACCCUAGGGUUUGCUAUUUUUUAAAAAAUUUUAGGUCAUUGGGCUUGUAAUCGGGCCUUUUAAUUUUAGUGAUUUGGGUCUGUAUCUUGGGCCAGGCAAAAUUUGGGCCCUACACAAGUCAUACUGGGAUCAACUACAUAAGGAAAAGUUGGCGAUCGAGACGUUCUUUGUCGCUAAUUGAUUCAAGAUUGGAGUACACCGAAGCUAUGGCUAAGCUUUAAAAAAUAUUUUAUUUUUCCAUUUAAUUUUAUUUCGUUUUUUUUUUUUGCAAUCAAGUUUUUACUUUAUUUCAUAUACAUAUUUUCUUUUUCUUCUUUUAAUAUUAUUAUCUUUAUCCACUAAACUCUCCCUUUUUUUUAUUUUCCAGCAUUGCAACAUAUUGGUUGUGGGCACGACUGUUACCAUGACAGUAAUUUUGGUAGCAAGAAAAUGCGAAAUUAAACAACCAGUCCUUGUGGAUUCGACCCCACUGUUCUAUACUGUUAUUUACUGUUAUUUUGUCGUAGGAAUUUAUACUUGGUGGUUUCAACGCCAAUCAGUUGUGAUUAACUGUUGUUAGCUUUUAACUUUUGAAAUUACUAUAACUUUAAAAAAAUAAUUAAAAAUUAUUUUGACA